rnacentral:rRNA from 1 species
UGAUCCUGGCUCAGAUUGAACGCUGGCGGCAGGCCUAACACAUGCAAGUCGAGCGGAUGAUGGGAGCUUGCUCCCGGAUUCAGCGGCGGACGGGUGAGUAAUGCCUAGGAAUCUGCCUAGUAGUGGGGGACAACGUUUCGAAAGGAACGCUAAUACCGCAUACGUCCUACGGGAGAAAGCAGGGGACCUUCGGGCCUUGCGCUAUCAGAUGAGCCUAGGUCGGAUUAGCUAGUUGGUGGGGUAAAGGCCUACCAAGGCGACGAUCCGUAACUGGUCUGAGAGGAUGAUCAGUCACACUGGAACUGAGACACGGUCCAGACUCCUACGGGAGGCAGCAGUGGGGAAUAUUGGACAAUGGGCGAAAGCCUGAUCCAGCCAUGCCGCGUGUGUGAAGAAGGUCUUCGGAUUGUAAAGCACUUUAAGUUGGGAGGAAGGGCAGUAAGUUAAUACCUUGCUGUUUUGACGUUACCAACAGAAUAAGCACCGGCUAACUUCGUGCCAGCAGCCGCGGUAAUACGAAGGGUGCAAGCGUUAAUCGGAAUUACUGGGCGUAAAGCGCGCGUAGGUGGUUUGGUAAGAUGGAUGU